AGCGGCAGGCUUAACACAUGCAAGUCGAGGGGCAGCACGGGUAGCAAUACCUGGUGGCGACCGGCGCAAGGGUGCGUAACGCGUGAGCAACAUGCCCUAUACAGGGGGAUAAUCCAGGGAAACUUGGUCUAAUAUCCCAUAGUAUUUAGAGGAGGCAUCUUCUAUAAAUUAAAGCUUCGGUGGUAUAGGAUUGGCUCGCGUGACAUUAGCUAGAUGGUGAGGUAACGGCUCACCAUGGCAAUGAUGUCUAGGGGUUCUGAGAGGAAGGCCCCCCACACUGGGACUGAGACACGGCCCAGACUCCUACGGGAGGCAGCAGUGAGGAAUAUUGGACAAUGGAUGGAAAUCUGAUCCAGCCAUGCCGCGUGCAGGAAGACAGCCCUAUGGGUUGUAAACUGCUUUUAUAUGGGAGCAAUAAGGUCUACGAGUAGACCGAUGAGAGUACCAUAUGAAUAAGCAUCGGCUAACUCCGUG
rnacentral:rRNA from 1 species